UACGAGAGGCCCAAACGUUAUUCGGAAUUACUGGGCUUAAAGAGUUCGUAGGCGGCGCGGAAAGUGGGGUGUGAAAUCCCUCGGCUCAACCGAGGAAUUGCGCUCCAAACUGCCGUGCUUGAGGGACCUAGAGGUGAGCGGAACUGAUGGUGGAGCGGUGAAAUGCGUUGAUAUCAUCAGGAACACCGGAGGCGAAGGCGGCUCACUGGGGGUCUUCUGACGCUGAGGAACGAAAGACAGGGGAGCGAACGGG
rnacentral:rRNA from 1 species